rnacentral:rRNA from 1 species
UACGAAGGGUGCAAGCGUUACUCGGAAUUACUGGGCGUAAAGGGUGCGUAGGUGGUUUGGUAAGUUAGAUGUGAAAUUCCUGGGCUUAACCUGGGGACUGCGUCUGAUACUGCUAGGCUAGAGUACUGUAGAGGGAAGUGGAAUUUCCGGUGUAGCAGUGAAAUGCGUAGAUAUCGGAAGGAACAUCAGUGGCGAAGGCGACUUCCUGGACAGAUACUGACACUGAGGAGCGAAAGCGUGGGGGAGCGAACAGG